rnacentral:lncRNA from 1 species
AUUUAAACAAAGUUAAGAUUCUAAAAGGAACGCGAAUCAAAUUCCAGGGGCAUGUAGAUAGCAUGCAAGUUUUUGUGCAUGUACUCUGGAAAAUUUAAAUAAAUUAAGUCUCAGUCCAAACUAGUUGGAGUUGACUACAUAACUCUGCCUCCUCCAAUGGAUUCUGUCAAGGGCUAGACUUUCUGCAAGUUAAUGUGAUAAUAUUGCUAUCACUGCACCCUCCAUAAUUUUAAUUCCCCCUCCCACUGCCUCAAAUUUCUCAAUUUGAUGACUCUUCUCCACCAGUGCAUCCAUUGGUCAACUUUAAGUAUGAUUAAAACAUCUCAAGCGAUCUUCUUAUCUUGUCCUUAAUGGUGCCACUGGCUCUACUGCUGAGUUACUCAUUUAUUGACACGGUCUUUGUUGAUGGUGAGUAAAAGACUUCUCCAUAUGAGACGCUGCAACAAAGCAUUUCCAAGAGGAAAUUGCAAAUUUACAUUUGUGAACAUAAACGUGUGUAUGCACGCGCAUGCAUGAUAGAGAGAGUCAAGCAACUAACAAGAAAGCCAGCCAGUCGUGACAAAAAUGAUAUGAUUCAACCUAGGGUCAGUAGCCAUCAAUUUGGACAGCCUAAUACGUGCUGGGAAUGCCAACUGGCGUUAUUUCCCUAGACUGUUUUAUUGGCUCUCCUAGUUGGUGAUGUGUCCAUGUCAGGCAACGAUAAUCUUUGUGCAAGAUUAGUUCCUAACAAUAAAUAGUUACUUCAUGAGAUAUCUUAUUCCACUUGCUCCUAAUUUUAAUGACUUUGAAGUCCACUUGUCCCAUAAAUUUUUAUAUAAUAAGCAGGGUAUUAAAUUUUAUAUACAUCAUUUCUUUGAGUAUACAUCAAAAUACAUUACUAUGCUGGACAUGAAAGCUAAAUAUGUAACUGAUGUUUUGAUACAAUUCACACAAUCAGAUUCGGUUUCUGAUUUAAUAUUUUAUAAUAUGCAAUUUUACUCUAACAAGUAUAAUUCUCAAUUCGACUGUUAAAUAGGGCUAAAAUUUUACCAAAAAUUUUCAGAGAUCUUGUUUUAUAUUGAGUUAAAAUUUCAGUUCAACCAGAAUUAAAAAAUGUAUCGUGAUAAAGACCAAAAAUUAUUGUACAGAUUUUGCUAUUUGUUUCUUUAUGAUUUGUGGACUUUUUAUUUAACAAGAAUUCAUUUUCUACAAUAACAAUAUAGGUGACAACAAUUAGGAUUAUUUUUUAAAGGGUUUUCAUGUCAACAACUUUUGUAUCUUUUUAUUUUGUAGAUUUUCUCAUUGGAAAAGUUUCUUUAUCAUUCAAGGAUAUUAGAGGCGAUUUUGAGCUUAUAUUAUACAGUUUUACACUGACAAAUAUAUUUUUUGAUUUAACUGUUGGAUCGAGUUAAAAUUUUUCCAGAUAAUUCUAAAGACCUUGUUUUAUAUAGGGUUAAAAUUCUAUAGUGAUUGAAUAUCGGGAAGGCCUUGCAAUAAGAUUCAAAAGCUAUUGUGAGGGAUUUGUAUUAGUUUCCUAGUUGAUUUAGAAUUAUUCUUUUAUUUUAUUGAGAAUUAUUUUAUUAUUUUCUAGUAUUAUUUAGGAUUUUUUUACCUAUUGUAAAAAAGGUUAUUUAGAUUUUUUUUUGUGACGGACUUUGAUUUCAGCAAUUAUUAUUGUGUGAGUUUUUUUCUCAUACUUUUUGGUUCUUCAUUAAACUACUCUAAUUUAUUGAAGAAUUAACCAAGUUUCGUGAUGUCUUUAAUACUUCUCGUUCACGAUUCUCUAUAAUCAUUAGGCGAGUGAUGUCUUUAAUACUUCUCGUUCACGAUUCUCUAUAAUCAUUAGGCGAGGAUUCGAUUAUUUAUAGUUUUGGUGUCUCAGUACAUGUUAUCAUUAUAUCAAACUCAAUUCCAAACUUGAUCUUAGCUUUCUUGGAAAGAGUUGAUUUAACGGUGGACUUGUGGAUCUUCAUAUCCAUAGGGUUCACAUCAGUUGGUAUCAUAACAAGACUUUAAAUCAGGUUAUAUCCCUUUUAUCUUCAAGUUUUCGCAUACUCCAUUAUUGUUGAAUUCUUUAUCUUCUCUAAAAACUAGUCGCGACAUCAGUUAAAAAAAAGAUAUUAUUUGGGAUCUUGAUUAUAUAAAAUCUUAUAAAAAUGAACAAAGAAAAUCAUAAAAAAACAAAUUAGGGUUUGCCACAAAUCUUGAUUCAAAAAACAUAGAAUUCGAUCACUUUUGCUUUAAAUAUGUUUAUAAAAAAUCUUGAUUUGGGAUACUUUAGAUUUACUUGGUUGGGUUUUCUUAAAAUUUACAAAAUAAGUAAAUAAAUAAAAAAUAACAUCUAGUUUUUGCAUCAUUUUUUUUUUGUUUCGGCCACCACACACACACACACACAAAUACUUAGUUGGGUUAUUUGAGUCUUAUUUCAUCAAUACUUUUAUUUUCAUAAUUUGUUUUCAUGUCUUUGUAUUAUUCAUAUUUUGCCUAAAUUCAUUUUGUUAUUCGCGAUUUCGUAUUCAUAGAUUAGUAUUGAUAAUUUUCAGUUUUUAUUACUUCUUGAGUCUUUAUACUAUUUUGGAUUUUGUUUUUAAGUGAUUAAUUUUUCUGAUUUGUUGUGAAUUAGUUUCUUAAAUAAUUGAAAUUUUUGAGAUUGAGUAGUAAAAGAGGUGAGCAUAUUAUAAUGAAAAGCAGAAAAUUUAUGUGAAAGACGAGAGUAAUGACAUCUAUUAAGUGUAAACAUGUGAGGAAGUGUGUGGGGAUAUAUUUUCUUACUACUAACGUGAUUUUUAGAUCUUAACAAUGUCUUUCAAAUGUGAUACAUCCCCGCUGAAAGAGAGAAAACCAAGCCUUUAUGUUACGAGCCAUGAAACAAAUUUAAAUGAUGAAUAUGAGAUUUGAUGAGUGGUUUGAAUAAAAAAUAAAAGAGAUGCUAAACUGCAAAAGGGAUAAUCUUAAAGGGCUUUUAAUGCUAAAAAGCAAGAGAAACUAAGGUUCCAAACUCCAAAGAUUGAUGGUGAAAGAGCUUUUAUGAACUUAGUAAAUGAGUGCAAGGAAAUUACAAUGUUAUUUGCAGAAACAAGAAAACUAAUUGAUGAUUGAGAAGCUUUAAAUCAGAAUCAAUAAGAUACAAACGAGAGAGAGAAUUUGCUCGUUGAAAGGAUGCAAAACAAGAGAGAAGCUGUUAUAUUUAUAUAGUGUAUAGGAGGCAAAAUUGACAAAAAAAGAGCUCUAAAUGCUUAAACAAAAGGUUAAUGAAGUGGGUGCUACUGUUGCUCUAGAUCUUACCAUAGUUUCUAUUGGUGAUUCGAGUACAAGUCCUUUUGAAAAGAGGAGGAAUGAUACAAUCCAUGUAAGGGUUGGACAAUCUGAUUCAGUUUCUGGCUUAAUAUUUCAUAAUAUGUAGUUUUAUUCUAACUGGAUCGGACUGAAAUUUUACCAGAAGUUUCAAGAUGUUUUAUUUUAUGUUGGUUUAAAGUUUCAGAUCAAUCGAAAUCCAAAAAGGCAUCACGAUACAGACCAGAAGUUGUACGAGUUUUACUAUUUAUUUCUUUAUGAUUUGUGGACUUCUUAUUUAGCAAGAAUUCAUUUUCUAUAAGGACAAUAUAAGUGGCAGCAGUUGAAAUUAUUUUGGCAAGGAUUUCCAAGUCAGCAACUUGUGUAUCUGUUUUUUUUUUUUUGGAUUUUCUAAUUGGCAAAGUUUCUCUAUCAUUCAAGAACAAUAAAGGCGAAUUUGGGUUUAUAUUUUCUAAUACAUCAUUUUAUGUUGGCAAACAUAUUGUCCUAUUCAACCGUUGGAUAAAGUUGAAACUAUUCUAGAUAAUUUUAAAGGUGUUGUUUUAUAUAGGGUUAAAUUUCAUAGCGAUCAAAAUCAGGAAGACCUUCUGAUAAGGUCUAAAAGCUACCGAGUGGGAUUUGUAUUAGUUUUCUAAUUGAUUUAAGAUUAUUUUUUCUAUUUUAUUUAGAAUUCUUUUAUUGUUUUUCCAACAUUCUUUAGGAUGUUUUUACCAUAUUAUAAAUAUGGUUAUUUAACUUGUAUUUAAGUUUAUUUUUAGGGAAACAAACUUCAAUUUCAACAAUUAUUAUUGUGUGUGUGAGGUUUUCCUAAUACUUUAUUGUUCUUCAUCGAACCAGUGUUGUCAAAGGCGAAAGGUCCUAAAAGAUACCAAGCCUGUAAAAUGCCCAAGGCGCUAGGUGCACGCCUAGGUGCUUUUCCAAAUGAACCAAGGAAAUAUGCAUAGAUAUAUUAAAUUAUAUUAUAUAAAUCUAAAAUAUAUCUUCUCAAUUAAGAUUAAAUCAUUAGAAAAUCAAAAGAAAAUAUAAAAUAUUUUUCACACUAAAAACAAAAUAAGAUAAUUUAAAGUAGUAAGUAGUCAAAUAGAUUAAAAAUAAACUUAAAUACCAUCAUCAUUAUUCAUUAAUCUUCUAAAACAUCUUCAUCCAUG